rnacentral:rRNA from 1 species
UACGGGGGGAGCAAGCGUUGUUCGGAUUUACUGGGCGUAAAGGGCGCGUAGGCGGCCUCUGCAAGUCGACUGUGAAAUCUCCGGGCUUAACCCGGAAGGUCAGCCGAUACUGACAGGGCUAGAGUGCAGAAGGGGCAACUGGAAUUCUCGGUGUAGCGGUGAAAUGCGUAGAUAUCGAGAGGAACACCUGCGGCGAAGGCGGGUUGCUGGGCUGACACUGACGCUGAGGCGCGAAAGCUAGGGGAGCGAACAGG